AGGGUUCGAUUCUGGCUCAGGAUGAACGCUAGCGGCAGGCUUAACACAUGCAAGGUCGAGGGGUAACGCGGUGUAGCAAUACACUGGCGACGACCGGCGCACGGGUGCGUAACGCGUAUGCAACCUGCCUCGCACAGGGGGAUAACGGAGUGAAAAUUCCACUAAUAUCCCAUGGUGUCGGAGAAUCGCAUGGUUUUCCGACUAAAGCUUUGGUGGUGCGAGAUGGGCAUGCGUGACAUUAGCUAGUUGGCGGGGCAACGGCCCACCAAGGCGACGAUGUCUAGGGGAGCUGAGAGGCUUAUCCCCCACACUGGUACUGAGACACGGACCAGACUCCUACGGGAGGCAGCAGUGAGGAAUAUUGGUCAAUGGACGGAAGUCUGAACCAGCCAUGCCGCGUGGAGGAAGAAGGUCCUAUGGGUUGUAAACUCCUUUUGUUCCAGAGUAAUAAGGUCUUUGCGAAGACUGAUGAGAGUAUGGGACGAAUAAGCAUCGGCUAACUCCGUGCCAGCCGCCGC
rnacentral:rRNA from 1 species